CCUACGGGAGGCAGCAGUAGGGAAUAUUGCUCAAUGGGGGAAACCCUGAAGCAGCAAAGCCGCGUGGAGGAUGAAGGUUUUCGGAUUGUAAACUCCUUUUGUUAGAGAAGAUAAUGACGGUAUCUAACGAAUAAGCACCGGCCAACUCCGUGCCAGCAGCCGCGGUAAUACGGAGGGUGCAAGCGUUACUCGGAAUCUCUGGGCGUAAAGAGCGCGUAGGCGGGGUAGCAAGUCAGAUGUGAAAUCCUGAGGCUUAACCCUAGAACUGCAUUUGAAACUGGUAUUCUAGAGUAUGGGAGAGGUAGGUGGAAUGCGUGGUGUAGGGGUAAAAUCCGUAGAGAUCAAGAAGAAUACUCAUUGCGAAGGCGGCCUGCUAGAACAUAACUGACGCUGAUGCACGAAAGCGUGGGGAGCAAACAGGAUUAGAUACCCUUGUAGUC
rnacentral:rRNA from 1 species